CCGACGGUGAGGGGUGAAAGCUCGGGUCACGCCGACGGUGAGGGGUGAAAGCUCGGGUCACGAACCGGAUUAGAUACCCGGGUAGUCCGAGCUGUAAACGAUGUCUGCUAGGUGUGCCACAGGCUACGAGCCUGUGGUGUGCCGUAGGGAAGCCGUGAAGCAGACCGCCUGGGAAGUACGUCCGCAAGGAUGAAACUUAAAGGAAUUGGCGGGGGAGCACUACAACCGGAGGAGCCUGCGGUUUAAUUGGACUCAACGCCGGACAUCUCACCAGCAUCGACAGUAGCAAUGAAAAUCAGUGUGAUGAGCUUAUCGGAGCUACUGAGAGGAGGUGCAUGGCCGCCGUCAGCUCGUACCGUGAGGCGUCCUGUUAAGUCAGGCGACGAGCGAGACCCGCACUCCUAAUUGCCAGCAACACCCUUGUGGUGGUUGGGUACAUUAGGAGGACUGCCAGUGCCAAACUGGAGGAAGGAACGGGCAACGGUAGGUCCGCAUGCCCCGAA
rnacentral:rRNA from 1 species